GCGUAACGCGUGGGAAUCUGCCCUUGGGUUCGGAAUAACAGUUGGAAACGACUGCUAACACCGGAUGAUAUCGAAAGAUCAAAGAUUUAUCGCCCAGGGAUGAGCCCGCGUAGGAUUAGCUAGUUGGUGAGGUAAAGGCUCACCAAGGCGACGAUCCUUAGCUGGUCUGAGAGGAUGAUCAGCCACACUGGGACUGAGACACGGCCCAGACUCCUACGGGAGGCAGCAGUAGGGAAUAUUGGACAAUGGGCGCAAGCCUGAUCCAGCAAUGCCGCGUGAGUAUGAAGGCCUUAGGGUUGUAA
rnacentral:rRNA from 1 species